AGGUUUGUUUCAUGGUCUCCUAUUGUGAAAAAGUGACCUUUGACCCCUCACAAAGAGCGACAACACUACCAUUCAAGCAAGUCAACGUCAUUGUGCAGGCUCAACUGCUGAUGUUAUUGCUCUGGUUCUUGAGGUGGACCCUCCCAGUUCACUGCCAAUACAACAGGAGAUUUCAUGGUGUAAAACCCAUCACAAUGCCGCUUCUUCAUCAUCAUCAUCACAGAGAUCAUCAGAAGG